AGGGUUCGAUUCUGGCUCAGGAUGAACGCUGGCGGCGUGCUUAACACAUGCAAGUCGAACGGGAUCCAUCAGGCUUUGCUUGGUGGUGAGAGUGGCGAACGGGUGAGUAAUGCGUGACCGACCUGCCCCAUGCACCGGAAUAGCUCCUGGAAACGGGUGGUAAUGCCGGAUGCUCCAUCACAUCGCAUGGUGUGUUGGGAAAGCCUUUGCGGCAUGGGAUGGGGUCGCGUCCUAUCAGCUUGAUGGCGGGGUAACGGCCCACCAUGGCUUCGACGGGUAGCCGGCCUGAGAGGGCGACCGGCCACAUUGGGACUGAGAUACGGCCCAGACUCCUACGGGAGGCAGCAGUGGGGAAUAUUGCACAAUGGGCGCAAGCCUGAUGCAGCGACGCCGCGUGAGGGAUGGAGGCCUUCGGGUUGUAAACCUCUUUUGUUAGGGAGCAAGGCACUUUGUGUUGAGUGUACCUUUCGAAUAAGCACCGGCUAACUACGUGCCAGCAGCCGCGGUAAUACGUAGGGUGCAAGCGUUAUCCGGAAUUAUUGGGCGUAAAGGGCUCGUAGGCGGUUCGUCGCGUCCGGUGUGAAAGUCCAUCGCUUAACGGUGGAUCCGCGCCGGGUACGGGCGGGCUUGAGUGCGGUAGGGGAGACUGGAAUUCCCGGUGUAACGGUGGAAUGUGUAGAUAUCGGGAAGAACACCAAUGGCGAAGGCAGGUCUCUGGGCCGUUACUGACGCUGAGGAGCGAAAGCGUGGGGAGCGAACAGGAUUAGAUACCCUGGUAGUCCACGCCGUAAACGGUGGAUGCUGGAUGUGGGGCCCGUUCCACGGGUUCCGUGUCGGAGCU
rnacentral:rRNA from 1 species